rnacentral:rRNA from 1 species
AUUGAACGCUGGCGGCAUGCUUUACACAUGCAAGUCGAACGGCAGCGCGGGCUUCGGCCUGGCGGCGAGUGGCGAACGGGUGAGUAAUACAUCGGAACGUGCCCAGUAGUGGGGGAUAGCUCGGCGAAAGCCGGAUUAAUACCGCAUACGACCUGAGGGUGAAAGCGGGGGAUCUUCGGACCUCGCGCUAUUGGAGCGGCCGAUGGCAGAUUAGCUAGUUGGUGGGGUAAAGGCCUACCAAGGCGACGAUCUGUAACUGGUCUGAGAGGACGACCAGCCACACUGGGUCUGAGACACGGCCCAGACUCCUACGGGAGGCAGCAGUGGGGAAUUUUGGACAAUGGGCGAAAGCCUGAUCCAGCAAUGCCGCGUGUGUGAUGAAGGCCUUCGGGUUGUAAAGCACUUUUGGCGGGAACGAAAAGGACUGUGCCAAUACCACGGUUCGAUGACGGUACCCGCAGAAUAAGCACCGGCUAACUACGUG